AUGAACGCUAGCGGCAGGCCUAAUACAUGCAAGUCGAGGGGUAGAGAGAGCUUGCUUUCUUGAGACCGGCGCACGGGUGCGUAACGCGUAUGCAACCUACCUUUAUCUGGGGGAUAGCCCGGAGAAAUCCGGAUUAAUACCGCAUAAAAUCACAGAAUAGCAUUAUUUAAUGAUCAAACAUUUAUGGGAUGAAGAUGGGCAUGCGUGUCAUUAGCUAGUUGGCGGGGUAACGGCCCACCAAGGCGACGAUGACUAGGGGAUCUGAGAGGAUGGCCCCCCACACUGGUACUGAGACACGGACCAGACUCCUACGGGAGGCAGCAGUAAGGAAUAUUGGUCAAUGGAGGCAACUCUGAACCAGCCAUGCCGCGUGCAGGAAGACUGCCCUAUGGGUUGUAAACUGCUUUUAUCCGGGAAUAAACCUUUCUACGUGUAGGAAGCUGAAUGUACCGGAAGAAUAAGGAUCGGCUAACUCCGUGCCAGCAGCCGCGGUAAUACGGAGGAUCCAAGCGUUAUCCGGAUUUAUUGGGUUUAAAGGGUGCGUAGGCGGCCUGUUAAGUCAGGGGUGAAAGACGGUAGCUCAACUAUCGCAGUGCCCUUGAUACUGAUGGGCUUGAAUGGACUAGAGGUAGGCGGAAUGAGACAAGUAGCGGUGAAAUGCAUAGAUAUGUCUCAGAACACCGAUUGCGAAGGCAGCUUACUAUGGUCUUAUUGACGCUGAGGCACGAAAGCGUGGGGAUCAAACAGGGUUAGAUACCCUGGUAGUCCACGCCCUAAACGAUGAACACUCGCUGUUGGCGAUACACAGUCAGCGGCUAAGCGAAAGCGUUAAGUGUUCCACCUGGGGAGUACGCCCGCAAGGGUGAAACUCAAAGGAAUUGACGGGGGCCCGCACAAGCGGAGGAGCAUGUGGUUUAAUUCGAUGAUACGCGAGGAACCUUACCCGGGCUUGAAAGUUAGUGAAUGAUCUAGAGAUAGAUCAGUGAGCAAUCACACGAAACUAGGUGCUGCAUGGCUGUCGUCAGCUCGUGCCGUGAGGUGUUGGGUUAAGUCCCGCAACGAGCGCAACCCCUAUGUUUAGUUGCCAGCAUGUAAUGAUGGGGACUCUAAACAGACUGCCUGUGCAAACAGAGAGGAAGGAGGGGACGACGUCAAGUCAUCAUGGCCCUUACGUCCGGGGCUACACACGUGCUACAAUGGAUGGUACAGAGGGCAGCUAGCUGGCAACAGUAUGCGAAUCUCACAAAGCCAUUCACAGUUCGGAUUGGGGUCUGCAACUCGACCCCAUGAAGUUGGAUUCGCUAGUAAUCGCGUAUCAGCAAUGACGCGGUGAAUACGUUCCCGGGCCUUGUACACACCGCCCGUCAAGCCAUGGAAGUUGGGGGUACAAAAAGUAUGUAACCGCAAGGAGCGUCCUAGGGUAAAACCGA
rnacentral:rRNA from 1 species